rnacentral:lncRNA from 1 species
GCCCCUGGGCAAGGACCCAGCAUUGACAGCUGCUGCAACCCCUCCCAGAUCUUUCCUUUACUUCCUGGGGAUGGGGGUGGGAGAAGAAUUUACCACAGGGGUGCCCUUCUCCAUUCCCUGGAGAAGCAUCCCUGAAAAAAUUAUAGGGGAUGGAGAUUUAAUCCUGAGUUCUCUACACAUGUGCCUUGGAUGGCUGAACAUACCAGGACUCCCCAGAGAUGGAGAUCACCUUCCAACUCGGGAGUGAGGGGAUUCCUUCACAAGCAGCUGGAUCAAAGGCUUUCCAGAUUUUCUCAUAUGGCUGCUGAUGGCGUGUGUCAUGAUAGGAUUGGGGGCUGUGUUGGCAAGAAUGAUCUGGAGAUGCUUUAGAAGAAACACAGACUCCGAGAACCACUUUUAUGGCAAUGUUCUCUAUUUCCACAAAGAAACUAAGGGGGCCACGCCAAACAAGAACAAGCCUCUGCAAGGGACACCAGAGAAAAAGAGAGGAGAGAGGAUCUACUCUGCUGGUCUCCAACUCCCAACCCCUACCCCUAGGGCUUAGUCCCCUGGAACCGUCCCCCUACCCACUCCAGCCUGCAUCAGGCUAGUUCUUAGCCAAUAAAACCAGCUCACUCCCUGCCUCCAACCUUCACUUAACCUAGGAUUUCUUUGCUCAGUCCAGUGAGGUGUGGGGGAGAGGUCAGCCUUCCUGAGAAUGGGAAAGUGAGGGAGGACUAAGGUUUCCCAGAAGCUGGGAGGUUGCCUCUUCAGCCAAGUCAUGGAGGAUAGGAUCCAAUGCUUAAAGAUAAGCCAGAGCUACAUUUUUGGAAAUGAAAGUGGCAAAAAGGAGGAUGGCCCAAUUUUAUGGCCCCAAUAUUAUACUUGACUCUUAAUAUUUGUUAUAAAGGAUUUUUUUUUUGUUUAUUUUAGUGGGGAAGAGGAGAAAAUGGAGAAAAUAAAUGCUUGUUGAUUGAAAAAUAAAGUGAAAAAACAAAAGAACCAAGAUCAUCUGAUAUGACUCUAAUAUAUGUCCUCUCUGAUGUUGUCAGAGACACAGACAUACUGGAAGGUUGGCAGAGCCAAGGGGACCUGAAGGGGACUGAAGCAGAGCAGAUCCAGACUCACAGAAGGUGAAGAGGCUCCAGGAUCCUCCGCCAGCUUCAGGCCUCCAGACCCCCAUCCUGGAUGACCUCCAUCUCCCUACCCCUGAGACCCC